AUGCACCACUCAUGCAACGGCCUUCUCCUCGUCGAGGACCGGUGGAGAGGCUACUUAGUGUGCAACCCGGCUACGGCGCGGUUUGCUGACCUGCCACUCCCAAAGAUGUCGCCGACAUGCCACGUCGACGAGAUGUUCCUCGCUUUCGACCCAGCCGUCUCGCUGCACUAUCAGGUGUUCCUUUUUCAGGAGGAGGACCCGCCACGCAUUCCGGAACCACCUACGUGGGUCGACCUAGAGAAAACGUACUUGCCCAAUUUGUUUGAAGAAGAGCAAUUGUCCGAAGAAGAAGAACAAGAUGAUAACAUGGAUUUGGGCCAUGUCGAGCAACCCCAAGAGGAAGGGGUCGAGGAACCAAAAGAAAAGGUUGUGCCUUUGAUAGUAUACUCGUCGCGCACAGGGCACUGGGAGAACCAGGAGUUCAUACCUGGAUGUUGUGCCCCAGGGCACCUCUACGACGCGGUGACCACUUCGCCUGACAGCUAUGAAAAUGUGCGGUCAUCCGAGUACUGGCACGGGUCGCUCUAUGUACAUUGCCGCAACAGUGUUCUCAUGAUCUUACGACCCUCAAAGUGGGCUUACGAUAUGGUCCAGCUCCCUGGGGAACCCUGUGCUACAAAGGGAUCUUACUCACUACCCAAAAAUUCAGUCUUGUCAAGCUAUGAAAGAGGGAUUCACUACGUGGCUUUCAACCAGCUGCAACUCCAAGUAUGGAAGCUAACUGAAUCGAUAGAUGGUCAACUAGGGUGGGCACUGGCACACGAGGCCAGCCUCAACCCACAAGAUCAUAUAAUUGACCAUCUUACAAUAGAGCCAAGGGUGAAAUGGGGAGUGGUUGAAAGUAGCGAUGAGCUAGUGAGCUUGUUCGAAGACAGGUCCUGUGGAGAAAGCAUGUGCAAUGAGGAUUAUUGUCAUGAUGAUUAUAUAGAGGAUGACAACUACGAAGGUGUCAAAGAGGAGGAUGAGGGUCAAGAGGAGGAGGAGGAGGGACACGAAGCAGAAGAUGCUAGGAGUAUAGGUGGUUCUGAACAUUCCUGGAACUCCGACGAAGACAAUUUCAUUCAUGUAGAUGGGGACGCCGACCAUCUUGGACCAUUGGCAUGGAGUUUCUGGAAUUUCUAUAGAAUCAUGGGAUUCCAUCCUCACAAGAAUGCGCUCAUCCUCUUACUCCACUCAAUGGUGGUAGUGUACCAUCUUGAUACGUCGAGGAUGCAAUAUCUAGGCGAUAAGCAUGAGCUCAUCAAAGACCACUUCCAACAAGCUUGUUGCGCCUACCGUUCCUUCCCUUACCGACCUUGCUACGUAGAUGCGUUGCCGACAGGAGAUUUGUCAUGA
rnacentral:rRNA from 1 species